rnacentral:lncRNA from 1 species
GAAUUAUUAAAACUGAAAUUACUAUCUUUGGGAAGCAUAAAACUAAAGUCUAGGAACGAGAAAGGCAAAAUAUAAAGUUCAGCUACUGUUUAUCUUGUUCCUACUACACUAAGUUCUAGAGAUUUAUUUUGAAAACUUACAAAUCACAUGAUGAGUUCCUAGCAUAACAAACUACCUACCAUAGCCAUACUUGCUAUAACAUCUUUUACUAUAUUUACAUUGAGUUUGAUCGAGCUGUGUAGACCCUUAGGAGCUUUUCAUGUGGUUAAAUUAAGAUAUUCACUUGCACACAUCUACCACAGCAUUCAUCACCAAUCAUUAAAAUUGCUAAAAAUAUUAUCACUCACUGUCUCGAAUAUUGUUAUUAUCUCUCUCUAAAAAAAUUCAAUGUAGAAGAGGCAUGGGUUAUGCAAAAAUAUGCGAGGAAAUAAAAAGGGGCAAGUGCCCGGAACCUCGAUAAAAGAAAAAGAGUGAGACGAGAGGUAAAAAUGGACAAGUGUCCAGAGUAGAAUUAGGGGUACAAAGAUGCCCACUUGAGCGGAAAAAAAUGGACAAGUGUCCGACAGUAGAAUUAGGGGUAUCUACUACCCACCUGAAAAAAAAAGAGAAAAAGAUAGCCCAUGUUCUCCCAAAGCAAAGAUCAAAGAAGAGGAGAGAUAGCAAUAUGAGGAGCAAUGAGAAGUAAGUUAUCACUUAUACAUUUUUAUCAUCACUAUCAUUUAUUCCAUCACACAUGCACAUCUUGAUUUAAUUAUAUGCUGAGUUCCUUUGGAUCCAUGGCUCGAUUAGACAACAUAUGUAUGAGCUGUUUUUCACUCCUAUGAGCUCCACUUAAAUAUCCCUUAGCUAUAGGUAAGUGACAUUAUGGUAAGGAUCCACAAAUACCACAUAUAGAGAGACUUGAGAGAAUCAUUGCUGGUAACUCUGAGUUUUAUUUUUGAAAACUUAUGAAAAACUCUAGAACAAAGGUGAAGUAUAGACAGGAGGGAUAGUACUUGACUUAACUAUUUUGUCUUUCGAUUACUUAAGACUUGAUUGCAGGUACUAAACUCCAUAACACUUCACUCUAAUCUGGAAGAAUUUUUAUGUAAAAGCAUGUGUGCCUGUCACGAAAGAAAACAUCGAAGCAACUUCUGAUUCGUCUAAGUUUAGCUAGUUGCUCAGGGACGAGCAAAGGGUAAGCUUGGGGGAGUUUGUUGACGGUCCUUAAGUACUAAAAUUAAUAAUCAAAUAAACAUGAAAAAGGAUCAAUAUGAAACAAACAUCUAGAAUUAGGGUUUUAUCUAACAGAAUUCCACGAGCUUUGGUGUUUAUCUAUUUCUGCAGGGGGUUAUCAGAUAAUAUGGAGAGAAUGCCCACAUGUCAUGUUUACAACGAGAUAAUUACGUGCUGCGCAAUUUUCCUCAAUCUAGAAGAGUCCAGAAGCCACGGGAACGAACGAGAGCACGAUCGGGCUAGGGGGUAGGGCGGCCGCCCACCCCCUUGGGCGCCCGCCUAGGGUUGGAGUCCAACCAGGACUCUGCUUCGGGACUACGCUCCACCGACCUAAAGGAUCAAUCUAAACCAUACAAUCUAUGUCGGUUUGAUCCAAUGGCUCACGUUCACUUGAGGGGACUAUAAAACCAGACCCCCUGGCCUCUGGAGGAGAAGAGAAGAAAUCAUUAUUCAGAGGUAGCCAUCAAAGUUAGGGUUUAGAGCUUCUCUCCCACAGAGAAUUAGAAUUAGCUACUCCCUAAUCCUUCAAGUUUAGAGGUUUGAUUAGAUAGCAAUUAGAGAAGUAGAGCACUACGCUCUGGAUUCGGAUCUUCGGUAAUAAAGAUUGGUAUUAUUCAUAUAUUUCUCUAAUUCUUUGUUCUAAUUGCAUUAUGUCACUAAUUAUUAUGUUCUUAGUUUGCUCUAGUUCUAUAUUUGAUAUAGUUCUAAUUGAUAAUGAGUUUAUGUAUAAGUUUGCAAAGCGCUUAGCUCUUGACGCGAGGGAGUUAGGUGAUAGAUCACAUGUGAGCAUGGUGCUUAGAUGUUAUUUAUCUGCAAAUUUAUCCUAUUGGCCGGGUCGUGUGGUAGUUCGCGAUAGUGACAGCUUCGUUGAUUCUUAUAUAGUCCACCCUCCGUUGAUAGGACAGGCAGAACCGGUAUUGUGGAGUAGGUCAUGCGAUGCUCUGAUUUACUUUAUCAACGUUCCUUAUACAUGAAUGAAGAGUCUUUUAUGCUAUAUAUGAUCUUGUAGAUAACUAGAGUAGAUUAUGACUUAGUAGUUAGUAGAUAACUUAGAAUCCAUUCUCUAGCUAAUCCGACAUCAGCUACAUAUGAGUAGUCUAUUUUCUAAUCGCUGUGUCAUCUACCCAUGAACUUAUACUUUAUUAUCAUUAUCUUUAUGGUUUAUCCCCUGCUAAAGUAAGUGACUGUGUGACGAGUUUCUCAUUAGUAAUCAUGUUCUUGCAAGUUUAUCUCUAGUCUAUGCCUUGAUAGAUUUUGCCCCCUUGAUUUAAUUUCAUCUUAGAUCCCUUGAGCAAAAUUAUAAAUAACGAUACCUGGAAUACUUAUCCUGGUGAAAUGCUACAAUGAGGUGUUUUAUCUGUGCGCUUGCGGAUAGAAUAGAUUAUUUUCUAGAGAGCCUUUACAUUUAUAAAUACCUUUGUACACUCUGGCACCAUGCUGGGGAUGACAACCUAGUAUCUAAGUGGUGUUAGCUAGUGUCAACAAGCAUUUCUGGCGCCGUUGCCGGGGAGUUAUAGGACUUAUACGAAUCUCAUAAGUAAGUCAUAAAAGGGUAAUAUAUAGGAUCGGUAAGGGAAGCCAGAAAAUCAAUCAAGGAUUAUUCACAUAAAACAUUAGACUAGACUAUAGAGAAAUAAUUGCAUAAAACAGCUACUAAGUGAGAAAUCAUAACAAGGCACCUCUGCUUUGGCAGGUUCACCCUGUUGUUUUUCUAUGUUUAUAUUUUUAUACAGGGUAUAACAGGAUUGACUUUGGGUACAUUCAACUCUCCAUCAUCAGAACCAAAGCAAUCAAGAGAAGAAGAAGCUAGCUACCAAUUGCUGAAGCUAUGGCACACAAGACCUUGCAAGAAUUCUCUGCUCCAAGCCUUGAGAACAUUCCAACUGGUCCAAGAUUUGCAGUAGAAGAAGGAAUACCUGAGUUUGAGCUCAAGUCAAGCGUCAUCAAUUUGGUGCAAGCUACACAAUUCAGUGGAAAGGCACAUGAAGAUGCUAGUGCUCACUUGCAGAAUUUCUUAGAGAUUGGGAGCACAAUCCACAUCAACGGAGUUGACAAAGACGUCAUACUGCUUCGCCUUUUUCCAUUCUCACUAGAAGGGAAAGCGAGGAAGUGGUUCUACACUCAUCAAGAUAACAUCAACAACUGGACGAACUUGUCAGAUGCCUUUCUAUCAAAGUUUUUCCCUAUAGGCAAAACAACUGCCUUAAGAGGAAAUAUUGUCAGUUUCCAACAACAGAAGACGGAAGCAAUUUCAGAAGCAUGGGAGCGUUUUCAAGGAUACAUUUCCGAUUGCCCUCACCAUGGAAUGGCCACAUGGUUACUUAUGCAGACCUUCUACCAUGGAUUAACCCAGAAGGCUCGUGAGUGCCUAGAUGCAUCUGCUAAAGGAUCAUUCUUGGAGCUUACAACUGGAAAAGCAGAAAUACUUUUGGAUAAGAUAGCAGAAAACCAAAGCUGGUUCCAAGAUAAAGCUCAACAAUGUCAUCAAACUGAAGAAAUACCAGAAGAAGUAAAUGCAUUAUUAACUAAGAUGGAAAAUUUGCUCCAUUGGAAUGACCAAAGGGCCAAAUUCAAAGAAGAUCAAAGGGCCAUUGAGACAGCAUACAAAUAUCAACCAACUUCGAGUCAACCCAAUAGCAAAGGUAUGAAUUCAGGUAAUACUUUCAAGCAACUUUCAUUAAAAGAGAUAAUUGCUCAACAAACCAAAAUUAAUGAUGAAGUUAAACAAAGGCUAGAUACAAAUGAAUCAUCUCUAAAAGAUAUACACAAUAAAAUGGAUUUUCUACUAACUGCCUUUGAUGAGCAAAACACUCUUAAUAAAAGGGUAGAGCUUAAAUUAAUAAAGAUAGCUGCUGCACUGCCUGUUGCUACUAACCUUGAGCAGGUAAAGAAUAUAACUACUAGAGGAGGUAAAGCUACCAGAGAUCCUCCAUACCCAAAAGAGAAACAAAGAACAUCAGCACCAGUGCAACCAGCAGUAAUAGAAGAAGAAAGCCCAGUUGAAGCAGAAGACCUGCUCCAACCACCAAGAACUGGAGAAAUGAGGAAAGAUUUUUAUGACACCAACUAUUUGCCAUUUCCUAGAAGAAACAGAGGACUGCAGUCGGAUGAGCAGUUUGGUAAGUUUGUAGAGGUCAUUUAGAAAUUAUAUGUCAACAUACCUCUGCUCGAUGCCAUACAGGUACCUACAUAUGCAAAGUACAUCAGAGAUAUUCUUAAUAAGAAGAGACCACUGCCCACCACUGAGGUUAUCAAGCUGACAGAAGAAUGCAGUGCGGCCAUCCUCAACAAACCACCAAAGAAGAAGGAAGAUACCGGAUGUCCCACUAUUGACUGCUCAAUCGGAAACCAACACUUCAACAAUGCACUUUGUGAUCUCGGAGCAAGUGUCAGUGUGAUGCCAGCAUCAGUCUACAAAAAGCUUGAGCAUGCAACCUUAGAACCAACAUCAAUGUGCCUACAACUAGCGGAUCAAUCGGUUCGACACCCGUUGGGCAUCGCCGAGAACAUUCCAGUCAAGAUCAGAGAUUUCCUGGUGCCAGUAGACUUCAUAGUACUGGACAUGAGCCCUGACUCAAAAGUGUCCAUCAUCCUUGGAAGGCCAUUUCUAAGCACUGCCAAUGCCCACAUUGAUGUCGGAAAUGGAGAAAUCAAGUUCAACAUAAACGGUCAAGAAGAACACUUCACAUUCAAACCCAGACCAGAGAGAGACUCUACAGUGAAGGAAGUUCAUGAAGAACCACUGGAGACACCAUCUCCGGAGGAAGGUAACUCCGAAGAUUAAAAUAUUUGGAGGUCCAGCUUGGGGGACCUAAAAAUCCCAAACCCUCACCGGGAGGUAAAUCGGUAUUUAUCCGCAUUAUUAUUUUUCUCAUAUUUAAUUCUUGCAUAAUUAAAUCUUGCAUUAGUCACAUUUAUUCAUAGCAAUAUUAUAAUAAUCAAAAGCCCCAUAUAAAUAAUAUUCGUGGUGUGUAACAACCCAUAUUUAUUAAUUAUUGUGGAGGCACAAAAAUAUUUUCCAUUAUCAUUUUAAUUAAGUUUCAAUUCUCAUAGAUUUUUCCUACAUUAUAUCUAAUUAUAUUAAUAUUAUAGAAGCAUGACCCACACUUCUUGGGUCCCACAUGUCAUACACUUCACCUGACAUACAUCCCAUCACAUAAUUUCAUCCACCAAUAUGUUUCCACUCACCUGACAUCUUUCCACCGUCCAACCACCACCAACACAACAUUAUUCUGCGUAAGAUCAAAGCAAGGAAGCAAGUGGAGAGAGAACAGCCAGGAUGGGCAUCACAAGUGGGCGCCCGCCCACCUACCAAGGGCGCCCGCCCUGUCCCUCUUCCUCCUAUAAAAGGCCACCUCCAGCUCUCCUUCUCUUCACACAAACACUCCAGAAAACCACACAAGUUUCAGUUUCCCGAGAAGGAGCUCUUGUAGUGAAGAGAAGAAAGUAGAGAGAAAGAGGAGAGUGGAAGGGAAGGUUGGGAAUUCUUUUGAGAGAGUGUUUGUCACCUAGCAAGUAGUGAUCCCGCUGUCCAAGCGAAAGUAAAAGUUGUUUGGGGGGAGGCUCUACCAAAAUAGAAAUUUGUCUUGAACGAUUAACCCCUGGUCUACUGAUAUUCCGGACAGCUGACCACUAACAUUUUCUCUCACAUUUUCCACUAGUUGUGUCUUGCCAACUUUUGUUUACAGGAUGUUUAAGAAGGUGAAGAAUGCAGGGAAGGCUCUCAAGAACAUUGGUACAAGGAGUUCAGCCCGACACUCCUCACAGCCAUCAGAGAUGAGCGUCGACCCAACACCCACACAAGCUCCAACAUCUUCAUUAGGUCAGCAAGUUAAGGUCCUUCUCAAGAUAGGAGACCUAGGACUGAAGACCCGAAGAGAGAAGGAAGUCUAUCAGCAACUGAAGAAUAAAGAUUUCAUUCAUACCCCUACUCUCGAUCCAAUCCUACUACAAGAAACAGGUAUGGACACUGAAUUCGACUUAAUUUUUCAGAUGAUGGGUUGGACAAAUUUUUGGAAUAUAACUGAGCUGGGUUCUCGUCUUCUCACCCUCGAAUUUCUUUGCACCUUACAAUACUAUGAGGGAGGAAUUGUUUUUCGGAUGUUCAAACAGGAAAUUAUGUUGUCUUGGAGAGAGCUAAGCGACCAUCUUGGUUUCUCUUCGAGAUGCAUCCUGGACAUUGACUCCGAUUUACCCAACUUUGAGAGAGACCAGUUUUGGAGAGAAAUAUCUAGAGAUAAUUUUUAUAGUCAAGCCCGAACCAGUGACAUGGAACACCCCACUCUUAGAAUGUUCCACAAAUGGCUUGGGUACAAUCUUUUCUAUCGCGAUGAUAUUAGGAAAGUAAGAGUAGGAGAUUUACAACUUUUAUAUGCUGCUAUUAGUAAAGUACCCACUUCGCCUGUUACACUAUUAGUUUCACAUUGGCUUAGUAUACCUAGUCUACAGGGACCAGUAGGAUGUACUUCACUUAUCACUCGUCUAGCCUCUAAUCUUCACUUACUAGAAAAUUCAUCGUUGGACAUCAUAGAAGAAUUAAGAAUUUAUCAUGGCUAUGACACAUUUAGACAAGCUCGGAUGUUAAAGAAAGAGGGGAAUAUAAUGUAUAUGCUAUAUGAUGAUAAAGGCAAGAUUCGGUUACCUAACCCGAACCUUGGCCUCUACGUUGUUCAAAACUUUUUGAUUGAGAUUACAGCAACACCAGUGAACCAGAGAACUCCACAGCGAGUGGCAUCUGAAAGGAUAACCACUCACCGAGAACGCACCUGGUAUGGAGCUGACCCCGGACCAGAAGAAGCAGCACAUCUGCAUUAUUGCGAUUACAACCCUCGAGUCCUUCGAGACCCAUGGGUUCGUCAUGCGCAACCACAAGAGCCAACAGAGGAGACAUGGCCGGAGAGCCAAGAUCACCAGUGGACAAACCCGCCUUUUCAUACGGGCAGGUACUCCACUGAUCCAUAUGGAGCUUCAGGAUCCAGACCUCCGCCCCAAUUUGAUGCAGGACGAUACUUCGACGCCUCCUACGCUUUCACGAAUGACUACUAUCAAGAGGCCGGUGCUUUCUUCACUCGUACCGACAACACCCUCCUCGACAUCCAGAACACGCAAGCAGAACAUGGAAGACUCCUGGAAGAACAACAAAAAUGGAACCAGGGCCAUGCCGCUGCAGUGCAAGAGUUGAGACAAGAUACAACAACAAUGAACGACAACAUCACAACCAUGAUGCGGUUCUGGAACAUCGGGUAAGACCGACGGCAACAUCCAGCUUGGGGGAGUUCCUCCCCAAUUUAUCAAGUAAGUUUUUAUUUGCACCUCUUAUUUAUUCUUUUCUAUUUUAGUAUUUUAUCUUAAAAAAAAAACUUAGAAAACCCAAUAAAUAUUUUCUUGCUUUAAUUUACUGCAUUCUAUAAACAUGAAAACAAAAUAAAAAUAGUGUGUAGAUAAGUGUGCUUUAUUUAUCUGCUAAGUCUUAGUCUCUAGAAAAAUAAAAAGACCAAAAAGAUGCAUGAUGGAAAUGAUGAAUAGCUGCUCUGUUUGCUUACUUUCCAGUACCUAGCUUUUAUACUAGAGUUCUUCCAGGAAUUAUUAAAACUGAAAUUACUAUCUUUGGGAAGCAUAAAACUAAAGUCUAGGAAGGAGAAAGGCAAAAUAUAAAGUUGAGCUACUGUUUAUCUUGUUCCUACUACACUAAGUUCUGGAGAUUUAUUUUGAAAACUUACAAAUCACAUGAUGAGUUCCUAGCAUAACAAACUACCUACCACAGCCUUACUUGCUAUAACAUCUUUUACUAUAUUUACAUUGAGUUUGAUCGAGCUGUGUAGACCCUUAGGAGCUUUUCAUGUGGUUAAAUUAAGAUAUUCACUUGCACACAUCUACCACAGCAUUCAUCACCAAUCAUUAAAAUUGCUAAAAAUAUUAUCACUCACUGUCCCGAAUAUUGUUAUUAUCUCUCUCUAAAAAAAUUCAAUGUAGAAGAGGCAUGGGUUAUGCAAAAAUAUGCGAGGAAAUAAAAAGGGGCAAGUGCCCGGAACCUCGAUAAAAGAAAAAGAGUGAGACGAGAGGUAAAAAUGGACAAGUGUCCAGAGUAGAAUUAGGGGUACAAAGAUGCCCACUUGAGCGGAAAAAAAUGGACAAGUGUCCGAUAGUAGAAUUAGGGGUAUCUACUACCCACCUGAAAAAAAAAAAGAAAAAGAUAGCCCAUGUUCUCCCAAAGCAAAGAUCAAAGAAGAGGAGAGAUAGCAAUAUGAGGAGCAAUGAGAAGUAAGUUAUCACUUAUACAUUUUUAUCAUCACUAUCAUUUAUUCCAUCACACAUGCACAUCUUGAUUUAAUUAUAUGCUGAGUUCCUUUGGAUCCAUGGCUCGAUUAGACAACAUAUGUAUGAGCUGUUUUUCACUCCUAUGAGCUCCACUUAAAUAUCCCUUAGCUAUAGGUAAGUGACAUUAUGGUAAGGAUCCACAAAUACCACAUAUAGAGAGACUUGAGAGAAUCAUUGCUGGGAACUCUGAGUUUUAUUUUUGAAAACUUAUGAAAAACUCUAGAACAAAGGUGAAGUAUAGACAGGAGGGAUAGUACUUGACUUAACUAUUUUGUCUUUCGAUUACUUAAGACUUGAUUGCAGGUACUAAACUCCAUAACACUUCACUCUAAUCUAGAAGAAUUUUUAUGUAAAAGCAUGUGUGCCUGUCAGGAAAGAAAACAUCGAAGCAACUUCUGAUUCGUCUAAGUUUAGCUAGUUGCUCAGUGUAACACCCGAUUUUAAGAACAAAAUCAGAUAUGCACCAUAUGUGAGUUUUAGAAGACAAGCCUCACAUAUAGCUACAAAUAAGGGGUAAUACCAAAGGACAACGCAUAAAUUACAUAGCGUACAUAGAAAAUCAGAAACAACCUUAGGCAGGAAACCACGGAAUAUAACUCCAAACUUCGGGUGUUAACUUCACUCUACAGGAUCCAACUGACUGGUUGAUCACAAGCCCAAUACUUCUCCUGAGGUGUGGGGGGAGAUAGCAAGAGUGAGUUCAAGACGAACUCCGCAAGUAUAACAACUAGAUUGUAUAGAUCCCACAAUCUCAUGAUCAAUGUGACAUAAAUAAUAUAGAGCAUUAAACAAUAAUCAAUGAGUUUCUUAACACAAGAUUCAUCACCCUUAAUGUAAGAGUUCCCAAGGCCGCUCGUGACCGUGAGCACGGCUAGUAUACCAGUUUUUAACACUCUGCAGAUGUUGUACAUCUUUACCCAUGAGUCAUGAUUUACCCUUUCGCCUGAGGUGAUCAGCCUCGUAACCCACUACCAAGGUAGGUCGGCAGGGAUCACUAUGAAGUCUUUCAAAGGUUCGUCUAACAAGUUAGGGCCGCUUGGUUUCGGUAGUCAGUCCGUGUGAUUCUACCACUCGCAGGGAAUCCACGGUCUGCUAUCCCCCAUUUGCGCCACACGGGUAACCUCUAACAAGCUAGAAAAGUUACUCAUACUUGACUAAAGCCAGAGCCAUUAUAGCCCUCAUGGUUGCACUUUCAUCCCGGUUAUCACUUACGAAUAAAUCCUCAAGUUGUUAAAAAGUCAUUAUUAAUAUUUGUUGCUUUAUAUCAAUCUAGUCACAAGAUCAUGAUCAUAGAAUUAAAACCAAAAUGCUAUACUUGCCUUGAUCCAAUUGCUCCUGCUGGUCCUGCUGAUCUUACUUGCCUCCAAGACUCUGAUCUUGAUCACCGAAGUAAUGCCCAGUGACUAGGCUCGGUCACCAAACAUCAACACACAAGCAAUCGGAGACAGACAUACACGAAGCAAACAAGAUUACAAUUAGAACAGUACACCAGCAGUAAAUAAAUUUAAAUAAAAGUUUUCAAAAAACAUCUACACGCUGCUACGAUCACGUCAACGCAAAAUUCACGCAAAACGGAGUUACGACGCGAAAUCUACGCAUUAACCGGGACUGCAGAGGCUAUCUACGGACUUGUAUUUAACUAGGAAAUCUAUCAGUGGUGAAUCUAAACAACAAAGGUACCAACGCGAAGCUUAUGAAAUUAUAAAACUAACGCAACUUGAACGGAUCGAAUCGGAGCUAAAACGGAGAAGAUAUGAAUUUUCUAAGAUUUUCCUAUAGUAAGUAAUUAAUUAAAUAGGGUCACAAAAUUAAAAUGUUUCAAAUUGUUAAACCAAGUUUACUAACACGUAGAUCUCAUGAUUACGAACCUAACGCAAUUUGAACGGGUCAAAUCGGAGCUGAAACGAAUAUUUUAUGGCCUAAACAAACUCAGUGGCAAUUCUGUAAUUACUGAAAACGUAUUUUGAAAUAAAUCAGCAGACUUUACGUUUUCAAAAAAUAGAAAGUGUAUUCCUUCAUAUGCGCUUUGAACCGCGGGUUGUUUUAAGAAAAACACAGGGUCUCUUUAACAAAACUCCCUGCGAAGGGGUAUCUUGUAUUCUUGACCGUUGAUGUGCAAUCCGACGGUUGGAAAUUGACCCAGGGAAAAGGAGGGGCACCGGUCGCCGGAGGGGAGGAGGGAGACGGCGGCGCAGCCAUUGCUGCCGCGCGGAGCUCACCGGCGAAGGCCGUUCAGGCGCUAUGGUGCGAGGUUUUCAAAUCCGAGAGCACCGGAAGAGAGAGAAGGAGAUGGCGAGUCCAUCCCUGACCCUUGCGUGGCCGGGGGCGAGCCCGCGUGGCUCGCGUCAUGGCCGGCGGACAUGGACCUCUGCGGUGCGCGUGGCCAGGGCGCUAGGAAGCCCCAAAAUGCUCGGGAAUUGGACCGGGAGAGAGCGGAAGGGGAGGGGAGCUCACCAGCGCGAAGAACUGGGUCGGAGGAGGCUCGGUUUGGCCCGUUGGCGCUCGGUGAAUCGCGGCGGCGCUCCGGCGACGGCUCUCGGCGCUUGCGCACGGAAACUGAGGUGGAGAGGAGCGGAAUGAAGAGUGGGAGCAGCGGGACUGGCUUGGGCGCGUCCAAAAGGCAAGACACGGGGGGGAGGGGAAAUGGGAUCGUGGGAGCGGGGGGCGCGGCAUGCGGCCGGCAGUUCGACUGCAGAGAGAGAGGGGAGGAGGCGGUUGCGGGAGGAGAGGGGAGAAGCUGACAAUCGGGCCCCACGCGUCAGAGAGAGGAGGGAGGAAAGGAGGGUGGCUGCUGGCUGGGCCUGGCCCAAGAAGAAGCAAGGGGCGCGGGUGGGGGUUUCUGGGCCAAAGGCCGAAAGGGAGGGGGAAAUUCCAACUUCCAUUUAUAUUUUUUUUUAUACCAAAUUUUCCAAAUACAUUUUCCAAUUGAAUUUUUUGAGUAAUUUGACACUUUAUUUUUAAAACAAUCAUCACAAUAAAAUGCACCAGCAUGUAUGCAUCAAAAUAAGUUUCUAACCUUAUUUAAAUUUUAACUUCCCAAAAAUUAUUAUUAUUAUUUUUUUCCUAUAUUUUAAUGCUCACAAAAUUGACUAUAAAAAUCAAAUUCAACUAUUUAAAAAGAAGCAAUUUUUAGGAUGUUACAAUUCUACCCCCCAUAAAAUGAAUCUCGUCCUCGAGAUUCGAAAGGGGCUUAGGUCCUUUGAGAGAAACAGGAAAUUAUCUUGAUAAUACUUUCAACUUGACAACUUGCAUACCAAACUUAAACACUUAUACCGCAAGGUCACAUCUCGUGAACAAAAUUUCCAUUGAAUAACUAUUAUUCAUAAGUUGACCAAAGUCCAUCUUGACUACUAAUUUCUUUUAGCUUACAACUCCAAGAGACAUGGAAACUUAAUAUGCAUUUGCCUCCUCAGGUAGGAGUGGACCACCGUGAUACUCAAUUCUUUUUCCUGACGGUGCUGUUAAGAGCAUUUUGUAUUGGGUACCAUAGAUCACUCCUUUGUGUGCACACAACCAUCCAUUACCAAGGACCAAGGGAAUACCAAGCGGCUCUAGCACAAUGAGGUUUACAGUGAAGUUUUCCUUGUUUAUGACCAGAUUGAUAUUUGAGCACACCUGAUCUGCUUGUAUUUCUCCCACUGGGGUUUGAACUAACAAAGGCUUCCUCGUUGGGCACUUCACCCACUCGAUCGUCUUUACCAAGUCAGCAGAAAUGAAAGAAUGCGAAGCACUCGGGUCAAACAGAGCAAAAACUUGCACUGAGUCUACUUGAAUAUAGCCACCAACCACUUUGGUAGCUCCAUGAAUGUUAUGCCUAUCCACAUUGCUCAGUCUUCCAUUGAUAUAGUCCCGUUGCACCUUAUUUCCAUGAGUAGACUUCUUAUAGCUUUUCCUUUUUCUCUUUCGCCGUUGUGGAUUCUGAUUUGAUUCACUUCCAACUUGCUCUUUAGUAUCAUUAUUUUGAUAGUACUCGGUCUCAUCAUACUCAUAAAAUCCAUCAAGGAUAGGAUCAUCAUUCUCUUCCCACGUAUCAGUAAGAGGCAUCAUAUAGGGCUCCUGAUCCAUGGGAUACUACACUCCCUGUCAUCAGGUGACCAACAUCAAUAACAUGAGAAGAAGAGAUGAUCAUAUCCAUAGAAUAUCUCAAGAGACAACUCUCACUUCAGGAUAAGUUGAAAAUGCGUCAACCCGUGAUAUCAAGGUACUACCCCCCUUAAGAAAGGUCGACUAGCAGGCACAAGGAAGGUAGCUUGAACUUUUUCUUGACAAGUUAUCUUGCAAUGAGACCCUUUUGACAUCCUAAGGAACUUAUGUGCAAGGAAGAAACAAAUAUCCUGAUUUUCCUCGCGAUAUGAAAAUCACCAGCGCAGUAAAAUGGACAUAACUCUUGUUUUGUUAAUCCAAUAGGGUUAUAGCUUAUACUGUUAGAAAGCUUAGAGAAUUUGCUACAACCUUUCUAUAGAACACUUUUCCAAAUUCUAUAGUUAUAUUUGUCCAAAACAGCAGGCAACCAAAACUGGUCUAGAUUCUUGACAGGACAUCUGUAUCGUCUUGUGAUUUUUGUAACUUCCAAACCGUAAUAGCUAUGAGGGUGAUUCUUGAGGUCAGAGAAAGAUCUCGAAGUCUAUUAUCAUCCAGAAUUUUCUCAUGAUUUUCGGUCAUCCCAGAUAAAAGAUAUGAACUGAUAAAGAAGUGAUACUUCGGAAGGCACGAUAAGAUAACAAGAGAAAAACCAAAACCCAACUAUUUAUGUCAUUAAUCCUUAUGCCUUAGUCAUGUAAACUAAAUGAAAUUGUGAAGAAACUCACAAGAUCAUUACACUCAUUACAAAGAUCCAAAUCAAACAUAAACAUAAAGGCAAUUCAACCAAGCAGUAAAGGUUCACAAGGCACACAAACUCGACUUUCGCUGCUAGCGUUUUUAUUACACAAGGGCACAAACUCCUAUAUCUUAAACUCAGUGUGGCUUCUUUCAUGAUGCAUCUAUGGAUUCCUUUGUGGACAAGGGUUUACAUAGUGUCCUUCCUGUCGGCAGUGAUAACACUUUUUCUUAGCUGGAUCCAUUGUGAUGUCAUUUUCCACUGAGGUGUUGCUCGGUGUGUUAUCAGCUUGCUGACUCUGAAGGUUUGUCUCUGGCUGGCUAGCUUUCUUCCUAACUUGGUUGAUGCUUCGAGGUUGAAACUCUUUAUAAGUGAUUGUCCAUCCAUCUAUGUAUACCUCAUGAGCAGUGGGGUUAGCUUGAGAAGUUUCUUCAUCUCCAAGGUUUGGAUUUUCAUGGCCAGAGUUCAAAGCUAAAUGUGACAACAUAGGAUUUGAAUGUUGUUCGCUUCCCAAUGCUGGCUCUAGUGAUUUUGCCUUCCUCUUCUUAUCCUCAUUAGUCACACCAUUUGAUGUUACCUUAACUUUCUUUUUAGAUGACCUAUUCCGACGACAAGGAAGACCAUAAUGCCUACAGCAAUGGCAUUGACCCUGAGAUCCCGAUGUACUACUACCAACACCAUGGGUUCUCAUAUUUUUCCAAGCUUCUGCUACUUGUCUCUUCACUGGUCCUGAGAUGCACUGCUGAGAGUUUCGAUUCUGAGCCAUUCCUUCCACUACUUGCUUUUGCAUGGCUAGAAGCUUCUCCUUGUCGAAUGCUUUUAUGGGUGGCGAAGCGAGGUCCUUUUGUCCAUUCAUGCCAAAGGUCUCCUCAUUAUGAGCCAUCUAAAUAGACAAGGUGGGAGGAUUUAGAAUAGAGACAAAGUUUUUAUAAUAGAAUAGGGUAGAGGUAAGCAUAAAUUUUAGCAAUUAUCGAGGUUAAGGUGAAAGCAAGAAGUAAGCAGAGAUAGAAGCAGGCUAAAACGUCCGGUUCUAACUAGGCUUGCGUCCUACAGUCAGCAUUGCUUUGAUACCACUUUGUAACACCCGAUUUUAAGAACAAAAUCAGAUAUGCACCAUAUGUGAGUUUUAGAAGACAAGCCUCACAUAUAGCUACAAAUAAGGGGUAAUACCAAAGGACAACGCAUAAGUUACAUAGCGUACAUAGAAAAUCAGAAACAACCUUAGGCAGGAAACCACGGAAUAUAACUCCAAACUUCGGGUGUUAACUUCACUCUACAGGAUCCAACUGACUGGUUGAUCACAAGCCCAAUACUUCUCCUGAGGUGUGGGGGGAGAUAGCAAGAGUGAGUUCAAGACGAACUCCGCAAGUAUAACAACUAGAUUGUAUAGAUCCCACAAUCUCAUGAUCAAUG